GACGAACGCUGGCGGCGUGCUUAACACAUGCAAGUCGAACGGAAAGGCCCUGCUUUUGUGGGGUUCUCGAGUGGCGAACGUGUGAGUAACACGUGAGUAACCUUCCCUUGACUUUGUGAUAUCUUCAGGAAACUGGUGCUAAUACCGGAUAGGAGCUCCUGCUGCAUGGUGGGCGUUGGAAAGUUUCGGCGGUUGGGGAUGGACUCGCGGCUUAUGAGCUUGUUGGUUGGGUAGUGGCUUACCAAGGCUUUGACGGGUAGCCGGCCUGAGAGGGGAGACAGCGACAUGGGGACUGAGGGACGGAGCAGACGGGAACGGGAGGCAGCAGGGGGAAAUAUGACACAAUGGGGGGAAGCGUGAGGCAAAAACGCCGGGUGCGGAAAGAAGGCCUUCGGGGGAUAAACCGCUGUAGCCUGAGACGAAGCGUGAGUGACGGUAAUGGGUAAAGAAGCACCGGCUAACUACGUG
rnacentral:rRNA from 1 species